rnacentral:lncRNA from 1 species
GGAAUUCAGUUGAGGAAAUUAUGACUUUGGGAAGAUCUAUACCUAAGAAAACCGGUUAGAUCGGUUUGCUAGGGUAGUCAGACCGGUUUGUUCUCUGUAGUCCGAGUUAGGAGUUGUAUUUUGACACAGGAUUUUAACUUUCUACUGGGGCAAGACUUCCCGUCCCUAUAAAUAUAAAGGGCCACGGCCAUUUGCGAGGAAUCCAAUCAAUCAAAACAUAUCAAUAUACUAUUUUGCAUUUUUUCCGUUUCUUCUUUGUUCUAGCUCUUCCAACCCUAUCUUGCUUUUCUUCCUUCGCCUCUACGGUAUUUGAGCACGUUCUAGGUGGCCUUCUAAUCCUAACAAUAGCUCAAGAUGCGC